rnacentral:rRNA from 1 species
CUAGUAUUCGCCCCUCGCUGCACGACGCAGCGCUGAAGCGAAAGCGAAAGCGCAGGGGUCGAGGCGGUGGAGAAGCAGUAAUGAUGCGGGUUUCUGGUCGGCGAGGUGGUAGGAGCCGAUAGGAGUUCGAGGCGGUUGGCAGCGAGUUGACGGAUAAAAAAUCUUCGACAAGUUGUUGACGGCGGCGAAAAAGCCCUGCAUAAUUUCGUUUCUCUGCUGCAGACAACGCAGCGACGCGAUGAACAAAGUUGAUCGCGCAGUUCUUUAACAAACAAACAGCCGAUAAGUGUGGGCGCUUGAUGACGGAUGCGGCGGACGCGAGUUCGCUAGCUUACAAGUUAUGAAGUGCUCGCACAGAAGUAAGGUUUGAACGAGAGUUCAAGUCAGAUUCUGAGAGUGAGCGACCGCUCGUAAAGAGCGAAAACAGCAGAUUGAACUGAAGAGUUUGAUCCUGGCUCAGAUUGAACGCUGGCGGCAUGCCUUACACAUGCAAGUCGAACGGCAGCGGGGGUAGCUUGCUACCUGCCGGCGAGUGGCGAACGGGUGAGUAAUACAUCGGAACGUGCCCUGUAGUGGGGGAUAACUAGUCGAAAGACUAGCUAAUACCGCAUACGACCUGAGGGUGAAAGUGGGGGACCGCAAGGCCUCAUGCUAUAGGAGCGGCCGAUGUCUGAUUAGCUAGUUGGUGGGGUAAAGGCCCACCAAGGCGACGAUCAGUAGCUGGUCUGAGAGGACGAUCAGCCACACUGGGACUGAGACACGGCCCAGACUCCUACGGGAGGCAGCAGUGGGGAAUUUUGGACAAUGGGGGCAACCCUGAUCCAGCAAUGCCGCGUGUGUGAAGAAGGCCUUCGGGUUGUAAAGCACUUUUGUCCGGAAAGAAAUCGCACUGGUUAAUACCUGGUGUGGAUGACGGUACCGGAAGAAUAAGGACCGGCUAACUACGUGCCAGCAGCCGCGGUAAUACGUAGGGUCCAAGCGUUAAUCGGAAUUACUGGGCGUAAAGCGUGCGCAGGCGGUUGUGCAAGACCGAUGUGAAAUCCCCGGGCUUAACCUGGGAAUUGCAUUGGUGACUGCACGGCUAGAGUGUGUCAGAGGGAGGUAGAAUUCCACGUGUAGCAGUGAAAUGCGUAGAGAUGUGGAGGAAUACCGAUGGCGAAGGCAGCCUCCUGGGAUAACACUGACGCUCAUGCACGAAAGCGUGGGGAGCAAACAGGAUUAGAUACCCUGGUAGUCCACGCCCUAAACGAUGUCAACUAGUUGUUGGGGAUUCAUUUCCUUAGUAACGUAGCUAACGCGUGAAGUUGACCGCCUGGGGAGUACGGUCGCAAGAUUAAAACUCAAAGGAAUUGACGGGGACCCGCACAAGCGGUGGAUGAUGUGGAUUAAUUCGAUGCAACGCGAAAAACCUUACCUACCCUUGACAUGCCACUAACGAAGCAGAGAUGCAUUAGGUGCUCGAAAGAGAAAGUGGACACAGGUGCUGCAUGGCUGUCGUCAGCUCGUGUCGUGAGAUGUUGGGUUAAGUCCCGCAACGAGCGCAACCCUUGUCUCUAGUUGCUACGAAAGGGCACUCUAGAGAGACUGCCGGUGACAAACCGGAGGAAGGUGGGGAUGACGUCAAGUCCUCAUGGCCCUUAUGGGUAGGGCUUCACACGUCAUACAAUGGUGCAUACAGAGGGUUGCCAAGCCGCGAGGUGGAGCUAAUCCCAGAAAAUGCAUCGUAGUCCGGAUCGUAGUCUGCAACUCGACUACGUGAAGCUGGAAUCGCUAGUAAUCGCGGAUCAGCAUGCCGCGGUGAAUACGUUCCCGGGUCUUGUACACACCGCCCGUCACACCAUGGGAGUGGGCUUUACCAGAAGUAGUUAGCCUAACCGCAAGGAGGGCGAUUACCACGGUAGGGUUCAUGACUGGGGUGAAGUCGUAACAAGGUAGCCGUAUCGGAAGGUGCGGCUGGAUCACCUCCUUUAAGAGCGUGCAUCCUAGUUAGGCGUCCACACUUAUCGGUUUGUUUGAUGUUACAGCCAAGGGUCUGUAGCUCAGGUGGUUAGAGCACCGUCUUGAUAAGGCGGGGGUCGUAGGUUCAAGUCCUACCAGACCCACCAAGUUACGGGCGGCGGAGAGCGAUCUUGCCGUGAACUGGGGGAUUAGCUCAGCUGGGAGAGCACCUGCUUUGCAAGCAGGGGGUCGUCGGUUCGAUCCCGUCAUCCUCCACCAACACCUUGUGGUAGCCAAACGCAAGCAUCGAGAGAUCGGUGUUUGCGUUUGGCAUUGCCAAGACGAGUAGUAACUCGGCUGUUCUUUAACAAUAUGGAAUGUAGUAAAGGUGUCGCGGCGCGUUGAUGAGGCGCGCAAUUUAAACGCGACACUGGGUUGUGAUUGUAUCAACCAGUAUUACGAGUGAUCGAAAGACCGCUUGGAAUACGGCACAACGCGAGAACUCAGCCUAUAGCGAGACAUACUCGUUAUAGGGUCAAGCGAAUAAGUGCAUGUGGUGGAUGCCUUGGCGAUCACAGGCGAUGAAGGACGUAGUAGCUUGCGAAAAGCUGCGGGGAGCUGGCAAACGAGCUUUGAUCCGCAGAUGUCCGAAUGGGGAAACCCGGCCCGUAUGGGUCAUCCCUUGCUGAAUACAUAGGCAAGGGAGGCGAACGCAGUGAACUGAAACAUCUAAGUAGCUGCAGGAAAAGAAAUCAACCGAGAUUCCCAAAGUAGUGGCGAGCGAAAUGGGAACAGCCUUGUACUCUUUAGCAGUAUUGUUAGCGGAACGGAAUGGAAAGUCCGGCCAUAGUGGGUGAUAGCCCCGUACGCGAAAACAGUAUUGUGGAACUAGGUGUACGACAAGUAGGGCGGGACACGUGAAAUCCUGUCUGAAGAUGGGGGGACCAUCCUCCAAGGCUAAAUACUCGUGAUCGACCGAUAGUGAACCAGUACCGUGAGGGAAAGGCGAAAAGAACCCCGGGAGGGGAGUGAAAUAGAUCCUGAAACCGCAUGCAUACAAACAGUCGGAGCCUGGAAACGGGUGACGGCGUACCUUUUGUAUAAUGGGUCAGCGACUUACAUUCAGUGGCAAGCUUAACCGAUUAGGGAAGGCGUAGCGAAAGCGAGUCCGAAUAGGGCGUUCAGUCGCUGGGUGUAGACCCGAAACCAAGUGAUCUAUCCAUGGCCAGGUUGAAGGUGCGGUAACACGUACUGGAGGACCGAACCCACUAACGUUGAAAAGUUAGGGGAUGAGCUGUGGAUAGGGGUGAAAGGCUAAACAAACUUGGAAAUAGCUGGUUCUCUCCGAAAACUAUUUAGGUAGUGCCUCGUGUCUCACCUUCGGGGGUAGAGCACUGUCAUGGUUGGGGGGUCUAUUGCUGAUUACCCCGCCAUAGCAAACUCCGAAUACCGAAGAGUGCAAUCACGGGAGACAGACAUCGGGUGCUAACGUCCGGUGUCAAGAGGGAAACAACCCAGACCGCCAGCUAAGGUCCCUAAGAUUGGCUAAGUGGGAAACGAAGUGGGAAGGCUAAAACAGUCAGGAGGUUGGCUUAGAAGCAGCCACCCUUUAAAGAAAGCGUAAUAGCUCACUGAUCGAGUCGUCCUGCGCGGAAGAUGUAACGGGGCUAAGCCAGUCACCGAAGCUGCGGAUGCACGUAAGUGCAUGGUAGGAGAGCGUUCUGUAAGCCUGUGAAGGUGUCUUGUAAAGGAUGCUGGAGGUAUCAGAAGUGCGAAUGCUGACAUGAGUAGCGAUAAAGGGGGUGAAAGGCCCCCUCGCCGUAAGCCCAAGGUUUCCUACGCAACGUUCAUCGGCGUAGGGUGAGUCGGCCCCUAAGGCGAGGCAGAGAUGCGUAGCUGAUGGGAAGCAGGUUAAUAUUCCUGCACCGUCGUAUGAUGCGAUGGGGGGACGGAUCGCGGAAGGUUGUCCGGGUGUUGGAAGUCCCGGUCCCUACAUUGGAGAUGGCACUUAGGCAAAUCCGGGUGCGUGAUUCAAGGGUGUGGGGCGAGCGACGUUAGGUCGCGAAGCAAUUGGAAGUGGUUCCAAGAAAAGCCUCUAAGCUUCAGUCAUACGAGACCGUACCGCAAACCGACACAGGUGGGCGAGAUGAGUAUUCUAAGGCGCUUGAGAGAACUCGGGAGAAGGAACUCGGCAAAUUGGUACCGUAACUUCGGGAUAAGGUACGCCCUUGUAGUUUGACUGGCUCGCGCCAGAAGGAUGAAGGGGUUGCAAUAAAAUGGUGGCUGCGACUGUUUAAUAAAAACACAGCACUCUGCAAACACGAAAGUGGACGUAUAGGGUGUGACGCCUGCCCGGUGCCGGAAGAUUAAAUGAUGGGGUGCAAGCUCUUGAUUGAAGUCCCGGUAAACGGCGGCCGUAACUAUAACGGUCCUAAGGUAGCGAAAUUCCUUGUCGGGUAAGUUCCGACCUGCACGAAUGGCGUAACGAUGGCCACACUGUCUCCUCCCGAGACUCAGCGAAGUUGAAGUGUUUGUGAUGAUGCAAUCUCCCCGCGGCUAGACGGAAAGACCCCAUGAACCUUUACUGUAGCUUUGCAUUGGACUUUGAACCGAUCUGUGUAGGAUAGGUGGGAGGCUUUGAAACCGGGACGCUAGUUUCGGUGGAGCCGACCUUGAAAUACCACCCUGGUUUGUUUGAGGUUCUAACCUUGGCCCGUGAAUCCGGGUCGGGGACAGUGCAUGGUAGGCAGUUUGACUGGGGCGGUCUCCUCCCAAAGUGUAACGGAGGAGUUCGAAGGUACGCUUGGUACGGUCGGACAUCGUACCUAAAGUGCAAUGGCAAAAGCGUGCUUAACUGCGAGACCGACAAGUCGAGCAGGUGCGAAAGCAGGACAUAGUGAUCCGGUGGUUCUGUAUGGAAGGGCCAUCGCUCAACGGAUAAAAGGUACUCUGGGGAUAACAGGCUGAUACCGCCCAAGAGUUCAUAUCGACGGCGGUGUUUGGCACCUCGAUGUCGGCUCAUCUCAUCCUGGGGCUGUAGCCGGUCCCAAGGGUAUGGCUGUUCGCCAUUUAAAGAGGUACGUGAGCUGGGUUUAAAACGUCGUGAGACAGUUUGGUCCCUAUCUGCCGUGGGCGUUGGAAUCUUGACGGGGGCUGCUCCUAGUACGAGAGGACCGGAGUGGACGUACCGCUGGUGUACCUGUUGUCUCGCCAGAGGCAUCGCAGGGUAGCUAUGUACGGAAGAGAUAACCGCUGAAAGCAUCUAAGCGGGAAACUCGCCUGAAGAUGAGGAUUCCCUGGAGACUUGAUCUCCCUGAAGGGUCGUUCGAGACCAGGACGUUGAUAGGCUGGGUGUGGAAGCGCAGUAAUGCGUUCAGCUAACCAGUACUAAUUGCCCGUGCGGCUUGAUCCUAUAACCGGUAUGUUUCCGGCUGGGUCUGCCUUGUGCCUGAUACACACAAAAGCACAACCCCAAACUACAUUCCAUAUUGGCGGCGUUGACCCUGAAGUCAGCGACGCGACAAGUCAUAGCCUGGUGACCAUAGCGAGUCGGUACCACCCCUUCCCAUCCCGAACAGGACCGUGAAACGACUCCGCGCCGAUGAUAGUGCGGAUUCCCGUGUGAAAGUAGGUCAUCGCCAGGCUCUCCAUCAAAACGCCCCAACCCUUACCGGUUGGGGCGUUUUACUUUGGGCGGCCAAACCUCGCAAUCUCUCGACCUCUGCACACAACAAAG